rnacentral:rRNA from 1 species
GACGAACGCUGGCGGCGUGCCUAAUACAUGCAAGUCGAACGAGAAAUUCUUACACCGGAUGCUUGCAUCCACCGUAAGAUUUCGAGUGGCGGACGGGUGAGUAACACGUGGGUAACCUGCCCAAAAGAAGGGGAUAACAUUUGGAAACAAGUGCUAAUACCGUAUAACCAUGAUGACCGCAUGGUCAUGAUGUAAAAGGUGGUUUUGCUAUCGCUUUUGGAUGGACCCGCGGCGUAUUAACUAGUUGGUAAGGUAACGGCUUACCAAGGUGAUGAUACGUAGCCGAACUGAGAGGUUGAUCGGCCACAAUGGGACUGAGACACGGCCCAUACUCCUACGGGAGGCAGCAGUAGGGAAUCUUCCACAAUGGGCGCAAGCCUGAUGGAGCAACGCCGCGUGAAUGAAGAAGGUCUUCGGGUUGUAAAGCACUUUCAGCGAGGAGGAAGGCCAAUAACUUAAUACGUUGUUGGAUUGACGUUACUCGCAGAAGAAGCACCGGCUAACUCCGUGCCAGCAGCCGCCGUAAAAC